rnacentral:rRNA from 1 species
UACGGAGGGGGGCUAGCGUUGUUCGGAAUUACUGGGCGUAAAGCGCGCGUAGGCGGCUUUGUAAGUUAGAGGUGAAAGCCCGGAGCUCAACUCCGGAAUUGCCUUUAAGACUGCAUCGCUAGAAUCAUGGAGAGGUGAGUGGAAUUCCGAGUGUAGAGGUGAAAUUCGUAGAUAUUCGGAAGAACACCAGUGGCGAAGGCGACUCACUGGACAUGUAUUGACGCUGAGGUGCGAAAGCGUGGGGAGCAAACAGG